rnacentral:rRNA from 1 species
AUGGCUGUUAGAUCAUGGUCAACUCGGUCCUCUGGUUUGUUUUGUCCGUUCGAUCUUCACCUGGCACUAAUUUCUUUUUUACCCCACGGUGCUUUUCUUUGCCCAAUGACCGGUGGGUUCGUCUCGCAAGUGCAUUGGCUGGGUGAGGUCCGCCCAUGUGCGAUUGGGAUUUUUCCAGUCCGCUCCUCGCGCGCGACGUGCGUCGUGGGACCGACCAUCCCCGAGCCCGCGCCCCUCCUUCCUCCUCUCUCCCUCGUCAGCCGCCACAGCAAGAACCAUAGCCCCCUUCCCCAUUGCCGCCGCCCCUCCCGCAUUUGUUCUCUCCUUCCUCUCUCCGUUGUCAGCCGCCGCUACAACUCCUCCCUUCCCCAUCUUUGUCCGUGCAGCCGACCAAAUUAG